GGGUGAGUGUGUGUGAGUGUGUGUGUGUGUGUGUGUGUGUGUGUGUGUGUGUGUGUGAGAAAGAGAGUGAAAGAGCACAUGUGAACAGUGCACUGUCUGGGCUUAUCGUUGUCAUGGUAACAGCCUGCCAAAUUUGCAGAUUUGCACAGUAUGAAACUUUAGGUUUUAUUUGUGAACUUUAGGAUUAUUGUGUAGAGUUACCUUUAUUUUAGGGUCUAGGGAUUAGGGUGCAGUGUGCAGAUAGUAGAGUAUAAGGUGUAGGGUUUAGAGUGUAGGGUUUAGGGUGUAGGGUUUAGGUGUUAGGGUUUAGAGUGUAGGGUUUAGGUGUUAGGGUUUAGAGUGUAGGGUUUAGGUGUUAGGGUUUAGGGUUUAGGUGUUAGGGUGUAGGAUUUAGGUGUUAGGGUUUAGGGUGUAGUGUUUAGGUGUUAGGGUUUAGAAUGUAGGCUUUAGGUGUUAGGGUUUAGAGUGUAGGGUUUAGGUGUUAGGGUUUAGGUGUUAGGGUGUAGGAUUUAGGCGUUAGGGUUUAGGGUGUAGGAUUUAGGUCUUAGGGUUUAGGUGUUAGGGUUUAGAGUGUAGGGUUUAGGUGUUAGGGUUUAGAGUGUAGGGUUUAGGUGUUAGGGUUUAGGUGUUAGGGUUUAGAGUGUAGGGUUUAGGUGUUAGGGUUUAGAGUGUAGGGUUUAGGUGUUAGGGUUUAGAAUGUAGGGUUUAGGUGUUAGGGUUUAGAGUGUAGGGUUUAGGUGUUAGGCUUUAGGGUUUAGGUGUCAGGGUUUAGGUGUUAGGGUUUAGGGUGUAGGGUUUAGGUGUUAGGGUUUAGGGUUUAGGUGUCAGGGUUUAGGUGUUAGGGUUUAGGGUGUAGGGUUUAGGUGUUAGGGUUUAGGGUGUAGUGUUUAGGUGUUAGGGCUUAGAGUGUAGGGUUUAGGUGUUAGGCUUUAGAGUGUAGGGUUUAGGUGUUAGGGUUUAGAGUGUAGGGUUUAGGUGUUAGGCUUUAGAGUGUAGGGUUUAGGUGUUAGGGUUUAGAGUGUAGGGUUUAGGUGUUAGGCUUUAGAGUGUAGGGUUUAGGUGUUAGGGUUUAGAGUGUAGGGUUUAGGUGUUAGGCUUUAGAGUGUAGGGUUUAGGUGUUAGGGUUUAGAGUGUAGGGUUUAGGUGUUAGGGUUUAGAGUGUAGGGUUUAGGUGUUAGGGUUUAGAGUGUAGGGUUUAGAGUGUAGGGUUUAGAGUGUAGGGUUUAGGUGUUAGGGUUUAGAGUGUAGGGUUUAGCUGUUAGGGUUUAGGUGUUAGGGUUUAGGUGUUAGGGUUUAGAGUGUAGGGUUUAGGUGUAGGGUUUAGGUGUUAGGGUUUAUGUGUUAGGGUUUAUAGUGAAGGGUUUAGGGUUUAGAUUGUACGGUUUAGCUGUUAGGGUGCAGGGUGUAGGGUUUAGGUGUUAGGGUUUAGCUGUUAGGGUUUAGGGUGUAGUGUUUAGGUCUUAGGGUUUAGAGUGUAGGGUUUAGCUGUUAGGGUGCAGGGUGUAGGGUUUAGGUGUUAGGGUUUAGCUGUUAGGGUUUAGGGUGUAGGGUUUAGGUCUUAGGGUUUACAGUGUAGGGUUUAGGUGUUAGGGUUUAGAGUGUAGGGUUUAGGUGUUAGGGUAUAGAGUGUAGGGUUAGGUGUUAGUGUUUAGGGUGUAGGGUUUAGGUGUUAGGGUUUAGAGUGUAGGGUUUGGGGUGUGGGGUUUAGGUGUUAGUGUUUAGGGUUUGGUGUUAGGGUUUAGAGUGUAGGGUUUAUGGUGUAGUGUUUAGGUGUUAGGGUUUAGGGUGUCAUUUUAGGUUUUAGGGUUUAGGGUGUAGGGUUUAGGUGUUAGGGUUUAGGGUGUAGGGUUUAGGUGUUAGGGUUUAGAGUGUAGUGUUUAGGUGUUAGGGUUUAGGGUAUCAUUUUUAGGUUUUAGGGUUUAGGGUGUAGGGUUUAGGUGUUAGGGUUUAGAGUGUAGGGUUUAGGUGUUAGGGUUUAGGUGUUAGGGUGUAGGAUUUAGGUGUUAGGGUUUAGGGUGUAGUGUUUAGGUCUUAGGGUUUAGGUGUUAGGGUUUAGAGUGUAGGGUUUAGCUGUUAGGGUUUAGGUGUUAGAGUUUAGAGUGUAGGGUUUAGGUGUUAGGGUUUAGGUGUUAGGAUUUAGAGUGUAGGGUUUAGGUGUUAGGGUUUAGGGUUUAGGUGUUAGGGUUUAGGGUGUAGAGUUUAGGUGUUAGGGUUUAGAGUGUAGGGUUUAGAUGUUAGGGUUUAGAGUAUAGGCUUUAGGUGUUAGGGUUUAGAGUGUAGGGUUUAGGUGUUAGGGUUUAGGGUGUAGGGUUUAGGUGUUAGGGUUUAGAGUGUAGGGUUUAGGUGUUAGGGUUUGGGGUGUAGGGUUUAGGUGUUAGUGUUUAGGUGAAUGGGUUUAGGAUGUAGGGUUUAGGGUUUAGGGUGUAGUGUUUAGGUGUUGGGGUUUAGGUGAAUGGGUUUAGGGUGCAGGGUUUAGGUGUUAGGGUUUAGAGUGUAGGGUUUAGAGUGCAUAGGGUUGGGUUUAUGGUCUAGGGUUUAGGAUGUAGGGUUUAGGGUUUAUGGUGUAGUGAUUAGAUGUUAGGGUUUAGGGUGUAGGGUUUAGGUGUUAGGGUUUAGAGUGUAGGGUUUAGGUGUUAGGGUUUAGAGUGUAGGGUUUAGGUGUUAGGGUUUAGGUGUUAGGGUUUAGAGUGUAGGGUUUAGGUGUUAGGGUUUAUAGUGUAGUGUUUAGGUGCUAGGGUUUAGAGUGCAUUGGGUAGGGAUUAAGGUGGAGGAUUAGGAUGUAGGGUUUAGAGUGUAGGGUUUAGUGUUUAGGUGUUAGGGUUUAGAGUGUAGGGUUUAGGUGUUAGGGUUUAGGGUGUAGGGUUUAGGUGUUAGGGUUUAUAGUGUAGGGUUUGGGGUGUAGUGUUUAGGUUUAGGGUGUCAUUUUUAGGUUUUAGGGUUUAGAGUGUAGGGUUUAGGUGUUAGGGUUUAGAGUGUAGGAUUUAAGUGUUAGGGGUUAGGGUUUAGGAUGUAGUGUUUAGCUGUUAGGGUUUAGGGUGUAGGGUUUAGGUGUUAGGGUUUAGGGUGUAGUGUUUAGGUGCUAGGGUUUAGAGUGCAUUGGGUAGGGAUUAGGGUGGAGGAUUAGGGUGUAGAGUUUAUAGUGUAGGGUUUAGGGUGUAAGGUUUAGGUGUUAGGGUUAAGAGUGUAGGGUUUAGGUGUUAGGGUGUAGGGUUAUGGUGUCGGCUUUAGGUGUUAGGGCUUAGAGUGCAUAGGGUUUAGGGUGUAGGGUUUAGGUGUUAGGAUUUAGAGUGUAGGGUUUAGGUGUUAGGGUUUAUAGUGUAGUGUUUAGGUGCUAGGGUUUAGAGUGCAUUGGGUAGGGAUUAAGGUGGAGGAUUAGGAUGUAGGGUUUAGAGUGUAGGGUUUAGAGUGCAUAGAGUAGGGUUUAGAUGUUAGGGUGUAGGGUUUAGGUGUUAGGGUUUAGAGUGUAGGGUUUAGGGUGUAUGGUUUAGGUGUUAGGGUGUAGGGUUUAGAGUGCAUAGAGUAGAGUUUAGGGUGUAGGGUUUAGGUCUUAGGGUUUACAGUGUAGGGUUUAGGUGUUAGGGUUUAGAGUGUAGGGUUUAGGUGUUAGGGUAUAGAGUGUAGGGUUAGGUGUUAGUGUUUAGGGUGUAGGGUUUAGGUGUUAGGGUUUAUAGUGUAGGUUUUAGGGUGUAGGGUUUAGGUGUUAGGGUUUACAGUGUAGGAUUUAGGUGUUAGGGUUUAAGUGUUAGGGUUUAGAGUGUAGGGUUUGGGGUGUGGGGUUUAGGUGUUAGUGUUUAGGGUUUAGGUGUUAGGGUUUAGAGUGUAGGGUUUAGGUGUUAGGGUGUAGGGUUAUGGUGUCGGCUUUAGGUGUUAGGGCUUAGAGUGCAUAGGGUUUAGGUGUUAGUGUUUAUGGUGUAGGGUUUAGGUGUUAGGGUUUAGAGUGUAGGGUUUAGGUGUUAGUGUUUAUGGUGUAGGGUUUAGGUGUUAGGGUUUAGAGUGUAGGGUUUACAGUGUAGGGUUUAGGUGUUAGGGUUUAGAGUGUAGGGUUUAGGUGUUAGGGUUUAGAGUGUAGGGUUUAGGUGUUAGGGUUUAGGGUUUAGGUGUUAGGGUGUAGGAUUUAGGUGUUAGGGUUUAGGGUGUAGUGUUUAGGUGUUAGGGUUUAGAAUGUAGGCUUUAGGUGUUAGGGUUUAGAGUGUAGGGUUUAGGUGUUAGGGUUUAGGUGUUAGGGUGUAGGAUUUAGGCGUUAGGGUUUAGGGUGUAGGAUUUAGGUCUUAGGGUUUAGGUGUUAGGGUUUAGAGUGUAGGGUUUAGGUGUUAGGGUUUAGAGUGUAGGGUUUAGGUGUUAGGGUUUAGGUGUUAGGGUUUAGAGUGUAGGGUUUAGGUGUUAGGGUUUAGAGUGUAGGGUUUAGGUGUUAGGGUUUAGAAUGUAGGGUUUAGGUGUUAGGGUUUAGAGUGUAGGGUUUAGGUGUUAGGGUUUAGGGUUUAGGUGUCAGGGUUUAGGUGUUAGGGUUUAGGGUGUAGGGUUUAGGUGUUAGGGUUUAGGGUUUAGGGUUUAGGUGUCAGGGUUUAGGUGUUAGGGUUUAGGGUGUAGGGUUUAGGUGUUAGGGUUUAGGGUGUAGUGUUUAGGUGUUAGGGCUUAGAGUGUAGGGUUUAGGUGUUAGGCUUUAGAGUGUAGGGUUUAGGUGUUAGGGUUUAGAGUGUAGGGUUUAGGUGUUAGGCUUUAGAGUGUAGGGUUUAGGUGUUAGGGUUUAGAGUGUAGGGUUUAGGUGUUAGGCUUUAGAGUGUAGGGUUUAGGUGUUAGGGUUUAGAGUGUAGGGUUUAGGUGUUAGGCUUUAGAGUGUAGGGUUUAGGUGUUAGGGUUUAGAGUGUAGGGUUUAGGUGUUAGGGUUUAGAGUGUAGGGUUUAGGUGUUAGGGUUUAGAGUGUAGGGUUUAGAGUGUAGGGUUUAGAGUGUAGGGUUUAGGUGUUAGGGUUUAGAGUGUAGGGUUUAGCUGUUAGGGUUUAGGUGUUAGGGUUUAGGUGUUAGGGUUUAGAGUGUAGGGUUUAGGUGUAGGGUUUAGGUGUUAGGGUUUAUGUGUUAGGGUUUAUAGUGAAGGGUUUAGGGUUUAGAUUGUACGGUUUAGCUGUUAGGGUGCAGGGUGUAGGGUUUAGGUGUUAGGGUUUAGGGUGUAGUGUUUAGGUCUUAGGGUUUAGAGUGUAGGGUUUAGCUGUUAGGGUGCAGGGUGUAGGGUUUAGGUGUUAGGGUUUAGCUGUUAGGGUUUAGGGUGUAGGGUUUAGGUCUUAGGGUUUACAGUGUAGGGUUUAGGUGUUAGGGUUUAGAGUGUAGGGUUUAGGUGUUAGGGUAUAGAGUGUAGGGUUAGGUGUUAGUGUUUAGGGUGUAGGGUUUAGGUGUUAGGGUUUAGAGUGUAGGGUUUGGGGUGUGGGGUUUAGGUGUUAGUGUUUAGGGUUUGGUGUUAGGGUUUAGAGUGUAGGGUUUAUGGUGUAGUGUUUAGGUGUUAGGGUUUAGGGUGUCAUUUUAGGUUUUAGGGUUUAGGGUGUAGGGUUUAGGUGUUAGGGUUUAGGGUGUAGGGUUUAGGUGUUAGGGUUUAGAGUGUAGUGUUUAGGUGUUAGGGUUUAGGGUAUCAUUUUUAGGUUUUAGGGUUUAGGGUGUAGGGUUUAGGUGUUAGGGUUUAGAGUGUAGGGUUUAGGUGUUAGGGUUUAGGUGUUAGGGUGUAGGAUUUAGGCGUUAGGGUUUAGGGUGUAGUGUUUAGGUCUUAUGGUUUAGGUGUUAGGGUUUAGAGUGUAGGGUUUAGCUGUUAGGGUUUAGGUGUUAGAGUUUAGAGUGUAGGGUUUAGGUGUUAGGGUUUAGGUGUUAGGGUUUAGAGUGUAGGGUUUAGGUGUUAGGGUUUAGGGUUUAGGUGUUAGGGUUUAGGGUGUAGAGUUUAGGUGUUAGGGUUUAGAGUGUAGGGUUUAGAUGUUAGGGUUUAGAGUAUAGGCUUUAGGUGUUAGGGUUUAGAGUGUAGGGUUUAGGUGUUAGGGUUUAGGGUGUAGGGUUUAGGUGUUAGGGUUUAGAGUGUAGGGUUUAGGUGUUAGGGUUUGGGGUGUAGGGUUUAGGUGUUAGUGUUUAGGUGAAUGGGUUUAGGAUGUAGGGUUUAGGGUUUAGGGUGUAGUGUUUAGGUGUUGGGGUUUAGGUGAAUGGGUUUAGGGUGCAGGGUUUAGGUGUUAGGGUUUAGAGUGUAGGGUUUAGAGUGCAUCGGGUUGGGUUUAUGGUCUAGGGUUUAGGAUGUAGGGUUUAGGGUUUAUGGUGUAGUGAUUAGAUGUUAGGGUUUAGGGUGUAGGGUUUAGGUGUUAGGGUUUAGAGUGUAGGGUUUAGGUGUUAGGGUUUAGAGUGUAGGGUUUAGGUGUUAGGGUUUAGGUGUUAGGGUGUAGGAUUUAGGCGUUAGGGUUUAGGGUGUAGUGUUUAGGUCUUAGGGUUUAGGUGUUAGGGUUUAGAGUGUAGGGUUUAGGGUGUAGGAUUUAGGGUGUAGGCUUUAGGUGUUAGGGUUUAGAGUGUAGGGUUUAGGUGUUAGGGUGCAGGGUGUAGGGUUUAGGUGUUAGGGUUUAGCUGUUAGGGUUUAGGGUGUAGUGUUUAGGUCUUAGGGUUUAGAGUGUAGGGUUUAGGUGUUAGAGUUUAGAGUGUAGGGCUUAGGUGUUAGGGUUUAGGGUGUAGGGUUUAGUUGUUAGGGUUUAGAGUGUAGGCUUUAGGUGUUAGGGUUUAGAGUGUAGGGUUUAGGUGUUAGGGUUUAGGUGUUAGGGUUUAGGUGUUAGGGUGUAGGAUUUAGGCGUUAGGGUUUAGGGUGUAGUGUUUAGGUCUUAGGGUUUAGGUGUUAGGGUUUAGGUGUUAGAGUUUAGAGUGUAGGGUUUAGGUGUUAGGGUUUAGGUGUUAGGGUUUAGAGUGUAGGGUUUAGGUGUUAGGGUUUAGAGUGUAGGGUUUAGGUGUUAGGGUUUAGGGUUUAGGUGUUAGGGUGUAGGAUUUAGGUGUUAGGGUUUAGGGUGUAGUGUUUAGGUCUUAGGGUUUAGAGUGUAGGGCUUAGGUGUUAGGGUUUAGGGUGUAGGGUUUAGGUGUUAGGGUUUAGGGUGUAGGGCUUAGGUGUUAGGGUUUAGGGUGUAGGAUUUAGGUGUUAGGGUUUAGGGUGUAGGGUUUACACCCUAUUAGGAUACACCCUAUUAGGAUACACCCUAUUUAAACCCUGUUAGGGUUUAGAGUGUAGGGUUUAGAUGUUAGGGUUUGGGGUGUAGAGUUUAUGUGUUAGUGUUUAGGUGAAUGGGUUUAGGAUGUAGGGUUUUUGGUGUUAGGGUUUAGGGUGUAGUGUUUAGGUGUUGGGGUUUAGGUGAAUGGGUUAGGGUUAGGGUUUAGCUGUUAGGGUUUAGGGUGUAGUGUUUAGGUCUUAGGGUUUAGAGUGUAGGGUUUAGGUGUUAGGGUUUAGAGUGUAGGCUUUAGGUGUUAGGGUUUAGGUGUUAGGGUUUAGAGUGUAGGGUUUAGGUGUUAGGGUUUAGGGUGUAGUGUUUAGGUCUUAGGGUUUAGGUGUUAGGGUUUAGGUGUUAGAGUUUAGAGUGUAGGGUUUAGGUGUUAGGGUUUAGGUGUUAGGGUUUAGAGUGUAGGGUUUAGGUGUUAGGGUUUAGGGUGUAGUGUUUAGGUGUUAGGGUUUAGAGUGUAGGGUUUAGGUGUUAGGGUUUAGAGUGUAGGGUUUAGGUGUUAGGGUUUAGGGUUUAGGUGUUAGGGUGUAGGAUUUAGGUGUUAGGGUUUAGGGUGUAGUGUUUAGGUCUUACGGUUUAGAGUGUAGGGCUUAGGUGUUAGGGUUUAGGGUGUAGGGUUUAGGUGUUAGGGUUUAGGGUGUAGUGUUUAGGUCUUACGGUUUAGAGUGUAGGGCUUAGGUGUUAGGGUUUAGAGUGUAGGGUUUAGGUGUUAGGGUUUAGGGUGUAGGGUUUACACCCUAUUAGGAUACACCCUAUUAGGAUACACCCUAUUUAAACCCUGUUAGGGUUUACAGUGUAGGGUUUAGAUGUUAGGGUUUGGGGUGUAGGGUUUAGGUGUUAGUGUUUAGGUGAAUGGGUUUAGGAUGUAGGGUUUAGGUGUUAGGGUUUAGGGUGUAGUGUUUAGGUGUUGGGGUUUAGGUGAAUGGGUUUAGGGUGCAGGGUUUAGGUGUUAGGGUUUAGAGUGUAGGGUUUAGAGUGCAUAGGGUUGGGUUUAUGGUCUAGGGUUUAGGGUUUAUGGAGUAGUGAUUAGGUCUUAGGGUUUAGAGUGUAGGGUUUAGGUGUUAGGGUUUAAGGUUUAGGGUGUAGGGUUUAGGUGUUAGGGUUUAGAGUGUAGGGUUUAGGUGUUAGGGUUUAGAGUGUAGGGAUUAGGUGUUAGGGUUUAGGGUUUAGGUGUUAGGGUGUAGGAUUUAGGCGUUAGGGUUUAUUGUGUAGGAUUUAGGUCUUAGGGUUUAGAGUGUAGGGUUUAGGUGUUAGGGUUUAGGUGUUAGGGUUUAGAGUGUAGGGUUUAGGUGUUAGGGUUUAGGUGUUAGGGUUUAGAGUGUAGGGUUUAGGUGUUAGGGUUUAUAGUGUAGUGUUUAGGUGCUAGGGUUUAGAGUGCAUUGGGUAGGGAUUAAGGUGGAGGAUUAGGAUGUAGGGUUUAGAGUGUAGGGUUUAGGUGUUAGGGUUUAGGUGUUAGGGUUUAGAGUGUAGGGUUUAGGUGUUAGGGUUUAGAGUGUAGGGUUUAGGUGUUAGGGUUUAGAGUGUAGGGUUUAGGUGUUAGGGUUUAGAGUGUAGGGUUUAGGUGUUAGGGUUUAGAGUGUAGUGUUUAGGUCUUAGGGUUUAGAGUGUAGGGUUUAGGUGUUAGGGUUUAGAGUGUAGGCUUUAGGUGUUAGGGUUUAGGUGUUAGAGUUUAGAGUGUAGGGCUUAGGUGUUAGGGUUUAGGGUGUAGGGUUUAGGUGUUAGGGUUUAGAGUGUAGGGUUUAGGUGUUAGGGUUUAGAGUGUAGGCUUUAGGUGUUAGGGUUUAGGUGUUAGAGUUUAGAGUGUAGGGCUUAGGUGUUAGGGUUUAGAGUAUAGGGUUUAGGUGUUACGGUUUAGGUGUUAGGGUGUAGGAUUUAGGCGUUAGGGUUUAGGGUGUAGUGUUUAGGUCUUAGGGUUUAGGUGUUAGGGUUUAGGUGUUAGGGUUUAGGGUGUAGUGUUUAGGUGUUACGGUUUAGGUGUUAGGGUGUAGGAUUUAGGCGUUAGGGUUUAGGGUGUAGUGUUUAGGUCUUAGGGUUUAGAGUGUAGGCUUUAGGUGUUAGGGUUUAGAGUAUAGGGUUUAGGUGUUACGGUUUAGGUGUUAGGGUGUAGGAUUUAGGCGUUAGGGUUUAGGGUGUAGUGUUUAGGUCUUAGGGUUUAGGUGUUAGGGUUUAGGUGUUAGGGUUUAGGGUGUAGUGUUUAGGUGUUAGGGCUUAGAGUGUAGGGUUUAGGUGUUAGGGUUUAGAGUGUAGGGUUUAGGUGUUAGGGUUUAGGUGUUAGGUGUUAGGGUUUAGAGUGUAGGGUUUAGGUUUUAGGGUUUAGGGUUUAGGUGUUAGGGUGUAGGAUUUAGGUGUUAGGGUUUAGGGUGUAGUGUUUAGGUCUCACGGUUUAGAGUGUAGGGCUUAGGUGUUAGGGUUUAGGGUGUAGGGUUUAGGUGUUAGGGUUUAGGGUGUAGGGCUUAGGUGUUAGGGUUUAGGGUGUAGGGUUUAGGUGUUAGGGUUUAGGGUGUAGGGUUUACACCCUAUUAGGAUACACCCUAUUAGGAUACACCCUAUUUAAACCCUGUUAGGGUUUACAGUGUAGGGUUUAGAUGUUAGGGUUUGGGGUGUAGGGUUUAGGUGUUAGUGUUUAGGUGAAUCGGUUUAGGAUGUAGGGUUUAGGUGAAUGGGUUUAGGGUGCAGGGUUUAGGUGUUAGGGUUUAGAGUGUAGGGUUUAGAGUGCAUAUGGUCAGGUUUAUGGUCUAGGGUUUAGGAUGUAGGGUUUAGGGUUUAUGGUGUAGUGAUUAGGUCUUAGGGUUUAGAGUGUAGGGUUUAGGUGUUAGGGUUUAGGGUGUAGGGUUUAGGUGUUAGGGUUUAGAGUGUAGGGUUUAGGUGUUAGGGUUUAGGGUUUAGGUGUUAGGGUGUAGGAUUUAGGCGUUAGGGUUUAGGGUGUAGGAUUUAGGUGUUAGGGUUUAGAGUGUAGGGUUUAGGUGUUAGGGUUUAGAGUGUAGGGUUUAGGUGUUAGGGUUUAGAGUGUAGAGUUUAGGUAUUAGGCUUAAGAGUGUAGGGUUUAGGUGUUAGGGUGUAGUGUUUAGGUCUUAGGGUUUAGGGUGUAGUGUUUAGGUGUUAGGGUUUAGAGUGUAGGGUUUAGGUGUUAGGGUUUAGGGUUUAGGUGCUAGGGUUUAGGUGUUAGGGUUUAGGGUGUAGGGUUUAGGUGUUAGGGUUUAGGGUGUAGUGUUUAGGUGUUAGGGCUUAGAGUGUAGGGUUUAGGUGUUAGGGUUUAGAGUGUAGGGUUUAGGGUGUAGGAUUUAGGCGUUAGGGUUUAGGGUGUAGUGUUUAGGUCUUAGGGUUUAGGUGUUAGGGUUUAGGUGUUAGGGUUUAGGUGUUAGGGUUUAGGGUGUAGGAUUUAGGCGUUAGGGUUUAGGGUGUAGUGUUUAGGUCUUAGGGUUUAGGUGUUAGGGUUUAGGUGUUAGAGUUUAGAGUGUAGGGUUUAGGUGUUAGGGUUUAGAGUGUAGGGUUUAGGUGUUAGGGUUUAGGGUGUAGUGUUUAGGUGUUAGGGUUUAAAGUGUAUGGUUUAGGUGUUAGGGUUUAGAGUGUAGGGUUUAGGUUUUAGGGUUUAGGUGUUAGGGUGUAGGAUUUAGGUGUUAGGGUUUAGGGUGUAGUGUUUAGGUCUCACGGUUUAGAGUGUAGGGCUUAGGUGUUAGGGUUUAGGGUGUAGGGUUUAGGUGUUAGGGUUUAGGGUUUAGGGUGUAGGGCUUAGGUGUUAGGGUUUAGGGUGUAGGGUUUAGGUGUUAGGGUUUAGGGUGUAGGGUUUACACCCUAUUAGGAUACACCCUAUUAGGAUACACCCUAUUUAAACCCUGUUAGGGUUUACAGUGUAGGGUUUAGAUGUUAGGGUUUGGGGUGUAGGGUUUAGGUGUUAGUGUUUAGGUGAAUCGGUUUAGGAUGUAGGGUUUAGGUGUUAGGGUUUAGGGUGUAGUGUUUAGGUGUUGGGGUUUAGGUGAAUGGGUUUAGGGUGCAGGGUUUAGGUGUUAGGGUUUAGAGUGUAGGGUUUAGAGUGCAUAGGGACGGGUUUAUGGUCUAGGGUUUAGGAUGUAGGGUUUAGGGUUCAUGGUGUAUUGAUUAGGUCUUAGGGUUUAGAGUGUAGGGUUUAGGUGUUAGGGUUUAGGGUGUAGGGUUUAGGUGUUAGGGUUUAGAGUGUAGGGUUUAGGUGUUAGGGUUUAGGGUUUAGGUGUUAGGGUGUAGGAUUUAGGCGUUAGGGUUUAGGGUGUAGGAUUUAGGUCUUAUGGUUUAGAGUGUAGGGUUUAGGUGUUAGGGUUUAGAGUGUAGGGUUUAGGUGUUAGGGUUUAGAGUGUAGGGUUUAGGUGUUAGGGUUUAGAGUGUAGAGUUUAGGUGUUAGGGUUUAGAGUGUAGGGUUUAGGGUU